rnacentral:rRNA from 1 species
GAGUUUGAUCAUGGCUCAGGAUGAACGCUGGCGGCGUGCCUAACACAUGCAAGUCGAGCGAAGCAUACAGAAUGAAGUUUUCGGAUGGAUUUCUGUAUGACUGAGCGGCGGACGGGUGAGUAACGCGUGGGUAACCUGCCUUAUACAGGGGGAUAACAGUUAGAAAUGACUGCUAAUACCGCAUAAGCGCACAGUACCGCAUGGUAGUGUGUGAAAAACUCCGGUGGUAUAAGAUGGACCCGCGUCUGAUUAGCCAGUUGGCGGGGUAACGGCCCACCAAAGCGACGAUCAGUAGCCGACCUGAGAGGGUGACCGGCCACAUUGGGACUGAGACACGGCCCAAACUCCUACGGGAGGCAGCA